GACGAACGCUGGCGGCGUGCUUAACACAUGCAAGUCGAACGGAAAGACCCUGCUUUUGUGGGGUGCUCGAGUGGCGAACGGGUGAGUAACACGUGAGUAACCUGCCCUUGACUUUGGGAUAACUUCAGGAAACUGGGGCUAAUACCGGAUAGGCGCUCCUGCUGCCUGGUGGGGGUUGGAAAGUUUCGGCGGUUGGGGAUGGACUCGCGGCUUAUCAGCUUGUUGGUGGGGUAGUGGCUUACCAAGGCUUUGACGGGUAGCCGGCCUGAGAGGGUGACCGGCCACAUUGGGACUGAGAUACGGCCCAGACUCCUACGGGAGGCAGCAGUGAGGAAUAUUGCACUAUGGGCGGAAGCCUGAUGCAGCAACGCCGCGUGCGGGAUGACGGCCUUCGGGUUGUAAACCGCUUUCGCCUGUGACGAAGCGUGAGUGACGGUAAUGGGUAAAGAAGCACCGGCUAACUACGUG
rnacentral:rRNA from 1 species